rnacentral:rRNA from 1 species
UCUCUGAUGGGGGGUACUGCGGAAGGAUCAUUACCGAGUGCGGGUCCUUUGGGCCCAAGUCCCCCAUCCGUGUCUAUUGUACCCUGUUGCUUCGGCGGGCCCGCCGCUUGUCGGCCGCCGGGGGGGCGCCUCUGCCCCCCGGGCCCGUGCCCGCCGGAGACCCCAACACGAACACUGUCUGAAAGCGUGCAGUCUGAGUUGAUUGAAUGCAAUCAGUUAAAACUUUCAACAAUGGAUCUCUUGGUUCCGGCAUCGAUGAAGAACGCAGCGAAAUGCGAUAACUAAUGUGAAUUGCAGAAUUCAGUGAAUCAUCGAGUCUUUGAACGCACAUUGCGCCCCCUGGUAUUCCGGGGGGCAUGCCUGUCCGAGCGUCAUUGCUGCCCUCAAGCCCCGGCUUGUGUGUUGGGUCGCCGUCCCCCUCUCCGGGGGGACGGGCCCGAAAGGCAGCGGCGGCACCGCGUCCGAUCCUCGAGCGUAUGGGGCUUUGUCACAUGCUCUGUAGGAUUGGCCGGCGCCUGCCGACGUUUUCCAACCAUUCUUUCCAGGUUGACCUCGGAUCAUGUAGGAUCCCCGC